GACAGAGGGUGCAAACGUUGUUCGGAAUUACUGGGCGUAAAGCGCGUGUAGGCGGCUCGGCAAGUCGGGUGUGAAAGCCCUGGGCUUAACCUAGGAAGUGCACUCGAAACUGCCAAGCUUGAGUUCUGGAGAGGAAGGCGGAAUUCUCGGUGUAGAGGUGAAAUUCGUAGAUAUCGAGAGGAACACCGGUGGCGAAGGCGGCCUUCUGGACAGCAACUGACGCUGAGGAGCGAAAGCAUGGGGAGCGAACAGG
rnacentral:rRNA from 1 species